GUGGGGAAUAUUGGACAAUGGGCGCAAGCCUGAUCCAGCCAUGCCGCGUGAGUGAUGAAGGCCCUAGGGUUGUAAAGCUCUUUCACCGGUGAAGAUAAUGACGGUAACCGGAGAAGAAGCACCGGCUAACUUCGUGCCAGCAGCCGCGGUAAUAAGAAGGGGGCUAGCGUUGUUCGGAAUUACUGGGCGUAAAGCGCACGUAGGCGGACAUUUAAGUCAGGGGUGAAAUCCCAGAGCUCAACUCAGGAACUGCCUUUGAUACUGAGUGUCUUGAGUAUGGAAGAGGUAAGUGGAAUUCCGAGUGUAGAGGUGAAAUUCGUAGAUAUUCGGAGGAACACCAGUGGCGAAGGCGGCUUACUUGUCCAUUACUGACGCUGAGGUGCGAAAGCGUGGGGAGCAAACAGGAUUAGAUACCCCUGUAGUCC
rnacentral:rRNA from 1 species